rnacentral:rRNA from 1 species
AUAGCGUAUAUUAAAGUUGUUGCAGUUAAAAAGCUCGUAGUUGAACCUUGGGCCUGGCUGCUCGGUCCGCCUAACCGCGUGCACUGAUGCGGCCGGGUCUUUCCUUCUGGCUAACCUCAUGCCCUUCACUGGGUGUGCUGGGGAUCCAGGACUUUUACUUUGAAAAAAUUAGAGUGUUCAAAGCAGGCCUUUGCUCGAAUACAUUAGCAUGGAAUAAUAGAAUAGGACGGCGGUUCUAUUUUGUUGGUUUCUAGAGCCACCGUAAUGAUUAAUAGGGAUAGUCGGGGGCAUCAGUAUUCAAUUGUCAGAGGUGAAAUUCUUGGAUUUAUUGAAGACUAACUACUG